rnacentral:sRNA from 1 species
UUCAUUCCAAGAUUGAAGCAUAUCAGAUU